rnacentral:rRNA from 1 species
AUUGAACGCUGGCGGCAUGCCUUACACAUGCAAGUCGAACGGCAGCGCGGGAGCAAUCCUGGCGGCGAGUGGCGAACGGGUGAGUAAUACAUCGGAACGUGCCCAAUCGUGGGGGAUAACGCAGCGAAAGCUGUGCUAAUACCGCAUACGAUCUACGGAUGAAAGCCGGGGAUCGCAAGACCUUGCGCGAAUGGAGCGGCCGAUGGCAGAUUAGGUAGUUGGUGAGGUAAAGGCUCACCAAGCCUUCGAUCUGUAGCUGGUCUGAGAGGACGACCAGCCACACUGGGACUGAGACACGGCCCAGACUCCUACGGGAGGCAGCAGUGGGGAAUUUUGGACAAAGGGCGAAAGCCUGAUCCAGCCAUGCCGCGUGCAGGAUGAAGGCCUUCGGGUUGUAAACUGCUUUUGUACGGAACGAAACGGUCUUUUCUAAUAAAGAAGGCUAAUGACGGUACCGUAAGAAUAAGCACCGGCUAACUACGUG